rnacentral:tRNA from 1 species
GGGGGAGUAGCUCAGCGGAUAGAGCAGCGGCCUUCUAAGCCGAAGGUCGAGGGUUCGAGUCCCUCCUCCCCCGCCA